AUUGAACGCUGGCGGCAUGCCUUACACAUGCAAGUCGAACGGCAGCGGACCUUCGGGUGCCGGCGAGUGGCGAACGGGUGAGUAAUGCAUCGGAACGUGCCAUUGAGUGGGGGAUAACGUAGCGAAAGUUACGCUAAUACCGCAUAUUCUGUGAGCAGGAAAGCAGGGGACCGCAAGGCCUUGCGCUCUUUGAGCGGCCGAUGUCAGAUUAGCUAGUUGGUGAGGUAAAGGCUUACCAAGGCGACGAUCUGUAGCGGGUCUGAGAGGAUGAUCCGCCACACUGGAACUGAGACACGGUCCAGACUCCUACGGGAGGCAGCAGUGGGGAAUUUUGGACAAUGGGGGCAACCCUGAUCCAGCCAUGCCGCGUGAGUGAAGAAGGCCUUCGGGUUGUAAAGCUCUUUCAGACGGAAAGAAAACGCAUCGGUGAAUACCCGGUGUGGAUGACGGUACCGUAAGAAGAAGCACCGGCUAACUACGUG
rnacentral:rRNA from 1 species